AUGGAGACAUUGAUUUAUGCUUUAUUCAUAUUCUUGUGGCUGCAUCUGAGCUGUGUCAUCCAAGGAGAGAAGGUGGAUCAGCACCCUUCUACCCUGAGUGUCCAGGAGGGAGACAGCGCUGUUAUCAACUGCACUUAUUCAGACAGUGCUUCAACCUACUUCCCUUGGUAUAAGCAAGAAGCUGGAAAAGGUCCCCAGCGUAUUAUAGACAUCCGUUCAAAUAAGGAGAUAAAUCAAAUCCAAAGAUUCAUUGUUGUGUUGGAUAAGAAAGCCAAACACUUCUCCCUGAACAUCACAGCUGCCCAACCUGGAGACUCAGCUGUCUACUUCUGUGCAGCUGAUGCACGAUGUUUCACAGACACCUGCAGCCUGUACUCAAACCUGCCACUGGGCUGA